UACGUAGGUAGCGAGCGUUGUCCGGAAUCAUUGGGCGUAAAGCGCGUGUAGGCGGCUCGGUAAGUCUGCUGUGAAAGUCCAGGGCUCAACCCUGGAAAGCCGGUGGAAACUGUCGAGCUAGAGUCCGGAAGAGGCGAGUGGAAUUCCUGGUGUAGCGGUGAAAUGCGCAGAUAUCAGGAGGAACACCAAUGGCGAAGGCAGCUCGCUGGGACGGUACUGACGCUGAGACGCGAAAGCGUGGGGAGCAAACAGG
rnacentral:rRNA from 1 species